rnacentral:rRNA from 1 species
GGCUCAGGACGAACGCUGGCGGCGUGCCUAAUACAUGCAAGUCGAACGCUUCUUUCCUCCCGAGUGCUUGCACUCAAUUGGAAAGAGGAGUGGCGGACGGGUGAGUAACACGUGGGUAACCUACCCAUCAGAGGGGGAUAACACUUGGAAACAGGUGCUAAUACCGCAUAACAGUUUAUGCCGCAUGGCAUAAGAGUGAAAGGCGCUUUCGGGUGUCGCUGAUGGAUGGACCCGCGGUGCAUUAGCUAGUUGGUGAGGUAACGGCUCACCAAGGCCACGAUGCAUAGCCGACCUGAGAGGGUGAUCGGCCACACUGGGACUGAGACACGGCCCAGACUCCUACGGGAGGCAGCAGUAGGGAAUCUUCGGCAAUGGACGAAAGUCUGACCGAGCAACGCCGCGUGAGUGAAGAAGGUUUUCGGAUCGUAAAACUCUGUUGUUAGAGAAGAACAAGGACGUUAGUAACUGAACGUCCCCUGACGGUAUCUAACCAGAAAGCCACGGCUAACUACGUGCCAGCAGCCGCGGUAAUACGUAGGUGGCAAGCGUUGUCCGGAUUUAUUGGGCGUAAAGCGAGCGCAGGCGGUUUCUUAAGUCUGAUGUGAAAGCCCCCGGCUCAACCGGGGAGGGUCAUUGGAAACUGGGAGACUUGAGUGCAGAAGAGGAGAGUGGAAUUCCAUGUGUAGCGGUGAAAUGCGUAUAUAUAUGGAGGAACACCAGUGGCGAAGGCGGCUCUCUGGUCUGUAACUGACGCUCCACCUGGGGAGUACGACCGCAGGUUAAAACUCAAAUGAAUUGAC